GUCACACCGACCUGCACCAUCUCUCGCCGCCUGUGGGGUUUCUGUCAACUAGUCGUGGAGGGGAGGAAACUCUUUAAAGAAUAACAUCUUAUUGUGGCCAUGCCAGAACCCACUAAGAAAGAGGAAAAUGAAGUGCCAGCCCCAGCCCCGCCCCCGGAAGAACCGAGUAAAGAGAAGGAGGCCAGAACUACACCAGCAAAAGAUGAAGAGGAAGUCUCCCCGCCUAGCGCCUUGCCUCCAGGUUUGGGUAGUCGGGCCCUGGAGAGAAAAGAUUCAGGUGAGCACAAGCCCAGACAAGGCAUCCUGACCUCAUCCUAAUACAAUCACUAAUGAGCUCAUUUCUUGAAGCUGUAUUGAUUCUAAUCCUUGUCUUAUUCAGAUUAUAGUUUUUACAGCAAUCUUUCAUUGCGUUUCCUCUUACAAGAAAACUAAUGUAUUGAGAAACAAUUAAUUUUGCAUGAUACACACACAUUCAAGGAUCUAGCUACAAAUACCACAGGUUUGUUCUAUCAUUUUUAAUAUUUAGCAAAUACACAGAGAUCAAUCUUCAUUUUGGGGAUGUACUAAAGUUAGAUAAUAAUUCACAUUUUUAUAGAACUUUACAUACAGAUAAUAAAACACUUUCAAAUGCAUCCUAUCAGCUGUAGUUCCUG
rnacentral:sRNA from 1 species